GGAGUAGCUCAAUUGGCAGAGCAGCUGAUUUGUAAUCAGCAGGUUGCGGGUUCAAGUCCCAUCUCC
rnacentral:tRNA from 1 species